AUUAAUAUGCCUGAAAAAGGUUUAUUUUGAUAGAAUAAGUUAUAUAGUUAAUAAAACUAUUAUUAAU
rnacentral:tRNA from 1 species